UACGUAGGGUCCGAGCGUUGUCCGGAAUUACUGGGCGUAAAGGGCGCGUAGGCGGCCUUCUAAGUCGAACGUGAAAUCCCCGGGCUCAACCCGGGAACUGCGUCCGAUACUGGGAGGCUUGAAUCCGGGAGAGGGAUGUGGAAUUCCUGGUGUAGCGGUGGAAUGCGCAGAUAUCAGGAGGAACACCAAUAGCGAAGGCAGCUCGCUGGGACGUUACUGACACUGGAGGCGCGAAAGCGUGGGGAGCGAACAGG
rnacentral:rRNA from 1 species